rnacentral:piRNA from 1 species
UUCUUCGGAACUAUCCAUAUAGGAGAA